rnacentral:rRNA from 1 species
UACGUAGGGGGCAAGCGUUGUCCGGAUUUAUUGGGCGUAAAGAGCGUGUAGGCGGCUGGGUAGGUCGGUUGUGAAAACUCGAGGCUCAACCUCGAGACGCCGAUGGAAACCCUCCAGCUAGAGUCCGGAAGAGGAGAGUGGAAUUCCUGGUGUAGCGGUGAAAUGCGCAGAUAUCAGGAAGAACACCAGUGGCGAAGGCGGUUCUCUGGGACGGUACUGACGCUGAGACGCGAAAGCGUGGGGAGCGAACAGG